ensembl:rRNA 5S_rRNA 5S ribosomal RNA
GCUACGGCCAUACCACCCUGAACGCGCCCGAUCUCGUCCGAUCUCGGAAGCUAAGCAGGGUCGGGCCUGGUUAGUACUUGGAUGGGAGACCGCCUGGGAAUACCAGGUGCUGUAAGCC